AUAAGAGGUCCAGCCUGCCCAGUGAUACUAUUAAACGGCCGCGGUACCCUGACCGUGCGAAGGUAGCAUAAUAACUUGUUCUUUAAAUGGGGACUAGCAUGAACGGCAUCACGAGGGUCUCACUGUCUCCUUUUUCUAAUCAGUGAAACUGAUCUUCCCGUGAAGAAGCGGGAAUUGAAGUAUAAGACGAGAAGACCCCAUGGAGCUUUAAACCCAAUAGGCACCUCUGACUAAAAAUAGCCCACAAUACUUCUUAUAGUUCUGUCUAUUGGUUUUAGGUUGGGGUGACCACGGAGUACAACAAAUCCUCCAUGACGUACGGGGCUUCCCUCUUAUCCUUGAACCACAUUUCUAAGAAUCAACAAAUUGACGUUUAUGAUCCAAUAUAUUGAUCAACGAACCAAGUUACCCUGGGGAUAACAGCGCAAUCCAUUUUAAGAGCCCCUAUCGCCAAAUGGGUUUACGACCUCGAUGUUGGAUCAGGGUAUCCUAGUGGUGCAGCCGCUACUAAUGGUUUGUUUGUUCAACAAUUAAAACC
rnacentral:rRNA from 1 species